rnacentral:rRNA from 1 species
UAACAAGGAUUCCCCUAGUAACUGCGAGUGAAGCGGGAAAAGCUCAAAUUUAAAAUCUGGCGGUCUUUGGCCGUCCGAGUUGUAAUCUAGAGAAGUAAUGCCCGUGCUGGACCGUGUAUAAGUCUCCUGGGAUGGGGCGUCAUAGAGGGUGAGAAUCCCGUCUUUGACACGGACUACCAGUGCAUUGUGGUAUGCUCUCAAAGAGUCGAGUUGUUUGGGAAUGCAGCUCAAAAUGGGUGGUAAAUUCCAUCUAAAGCUAAAUAUUGGCGAGAGACCGAUAGCGAACAAGUACCGUGAGGGAAAGAUGAAAAGAACUUUGGAAAGAGAGUUAAACAGUACGUGAAAUUGCUGAAAGGGAAACGCUUGAAGUCAGUCGCGUUGGCCGGGAAUCAGCCUUGCUUUUGCAUGGUGUACUUUCUGGUYGACGGGUCAGCAUCAAUUUUGAUCACUGGAAAAGGCUCAAGGGAAUGUGGCAGCUUCGGCUGUGUUAUAGCCCCUGUUCACAUACAGUGGUUGGGAUUGAGGAACUCAGCACGCCGCAAGGCCGGGUUUCGACCACGUUCGUGCUUAGGAUGCUGGCAUAAUGGCUUUAAGCGACCCGUCUUGAAACACGGACCAAGGAGUCUAACAUGCCUGCGAGUAUUUGGGUGGAAAACCCAGGUGCGCAAUGAAAGUGAAAGUUGAGAUCCCUGUCGUGGGGAGCAUCGACGCCCGGACCAGAACUUUUGGGACGGAUCCGCGGUGGAGCAUGUAUGUUGGGACCCGAAAGAUGGUGAACUAUGCCUGAAUAGGGUGAAGCCAGAGGAAACUCUGGUGGAGGCUCGUAGCGAUUCUGACGUGCAAAUCGAUCGUCAAAUUUGGGUAUAGG